UACGUAGGGGGCAAGCGUUGUCCGGAUUUAUUGGGCGUAAAGAGCGUGUAGGCGGCUUGGUAGGUCCGCUGUGAAAACUCGAGGCUCAACCUCGAGAUGGCGGCGGAAACCACUUGGCUAGAGUCCGGAAGAGGAGAGUGGAAUUCCUGGUGUAGCGGUGAAAUGCGCAGAUAUCAGGAAGAACACCUAUGGCGAAGGCAGCUCUCUGGGACGGUACUGACGCUGAGACGCGAAAGCGUGGGGAGCGAACAGG
rnacentral:rRNA from 1 species